rnacentral:rRNA from 1 species
GAUGAACGCUAGCGGCAGGCCUAACACAUGCAAGUCGAGGGGCAGCACAGAAACAGCAAUGUUUUGGUGGCGACCGGCGGACGGGUGCGUAACGCGUAUGCAACCUACCUUUAACAGGGGGAUAACGGAGAGAAAUUUCCACUAAUACCCCAUAACAUCGAUCAAGGCAUCUUGAUUGGUUGAAAACUCCGGUGGUUAAAGAUGGGCAUGCGUUGUAUUAGGUAGUUGGUGAGGUAAUGGCUCACCAAGCCUACGAUACAUAGGGGGACUGAGAGGUUAGCCCCCCACACUGGUACUGAGACACGGACCAGACUCCUACGGGAGGCAGCAGUGAGUAAUAUUGGUCAAUGGGGGCAACCCUGAACCAGCCAUGCCGCGUGCAGGAAGAUGGCUCUAUGAGUUGUAAACUGCUUUUAAACAGGGAUAAAGCACAGUAUGUAUACUGUGUUGAAGGUACUGUAAGAAUAAGGAUCGGCUAACUCCGUGCCAGCCGCCGCAGUAA